CAUUGAAAUUUCUUUAUGGAGAUCAAUACAAAAACAUUAUAACCAACAUUAAACAAGUGCUUAAUGAUAGGCGACACCUUCGAAUUGCGGGAACUCCGUCAACAACAGCCUCAAGUACCACUUCAGUUGAGAAAUCUUCUGAAGGAACACAGGUAAUUCCUGUUCCCAAUGGUAACAAGCUUGAGGACAUGGUGGAAAUCCGCAGCCAAGCUCCUAAGUCCGAACGAAGUUGACAAGGAUAUGGAGAAGGUUCAGAGACUUAAUGGGGUGGGGCUGAAGGAUCUGGUCAAUCCUGAUGAAGCCUUAAGAUAAAGUACAGCCUCUUUCGAAAGAUUGAG
rnacentral:ncRNA from 1 species